AUAGUUCCUCUAGGUCGGCUCAUAGGGAACUUGGUAUUCCCCGCUGCUGUAUCCAGUUAGAAAACAAAGUGUUGACGGACCUUGUGUAUGACAGAUACAUUUGAACAUUGGGAACUGCUUCAGCAAAGUCAAACUGUCUUUUGGGACGAAUUGCUAUGAUGAACACGCUUAUGACAAAGGAUGGGACAUUGAGUUGUGAGGAGGAAGGAGCAUGAUGACAAUGCCUAAGAACCAAGGAGCAAUGAGGAUCAUGAGAAAGGAAAUCAAGAGUUCGUUUGAUUUUUUAUUUUUAUGUUUCUUUCUUGAUUAAUUCAAGUUCUGACUGAAUAUAUAUGUUAGUGUUUUUUUAGUUUCUUAGUUUUAUGAUCUAUGUCCUAUUUUUAGGCAGACCUAACUCUUUGGACUUUGAAAUUUAUUUCUUUCUUUUAUUUCUAAAAA